rnacentral:rRNA from 1 species
AUUGAACGCUGGCGGCAUGCCUUACACAUGCAAGUCGAACGGUAACGCGGGGCAACCUGGCGACGAGUGGCGAACGGGUGAGUAAUGCAUCGGAACGUGCCCAGUAGUGGGGGAUAGCCCGGCGAAAGCCGGAUUAAUACCGCAUACGACCUAUGGGUGAAAGCGGGGGACCGUAAGGCCUCGCGCUAUUGGAGCGGCCGAUGUCAGAUUAGCUAGUUGGUGGGGUAAAGGCCUACCAAGGCGACGAUCUGUAGCUGGUCUGAGAGGACGACCAGCCACACUGGGACUGAGACACGGCCCAGACUCCUACGGGAGGCAGCAGUGGGGAAUUUUGGACAAUGGGGGCAACCCUGAUCCAGCCAUGCCGCGUGCGGGAAGAAGGCCUUCGGGUUGUAAACCGCUUUUGUCGGGGAAGAAACGGUCUGCGCUAAUACCGCGGACUAAUGACGGUACCCGAAGAAUAAGCACCGGCUAACUACGUGCCAGCCGCCGCCGUAA